rnacentral:rRNA from 1 species
AGUGAACGCUGGCGGUAGGCCUAACACAUGCAAGUCGAACGGCAGCACAGUAAGAGCUUGCUCUUACGGGUGGCGAGUGGCGGACGGGUGAGGAAUACAUCGGAAUCUACUUUUUCGUGGGGGAUAACGUAGGGAAACUUACGCUAAUACCGCAUACGACCUACGGGUUAGAGCAGGGGAUCUUCGGACCUUGCGCGAUUGAAUGAGCCGAUGUCGGAUUAGCUAGUUGGCGGGGUAAAGUCCCACCAAGGCGACGAUCCGUAGCUGGUCUGAGAGGAUGAUCAGCCACACUGGAACUGAGACACGGUCCAGACUCCUACGGGAGGCAGCAGUGGGGAAUAUUGGACAAUGGGCGAAAGCCUGAUCCAGCCACACCGCGUGGGUGAAGAAGGCCUUCGGGUUGUAAAGCCCUUUUGUUGGGAAAGAAAAGCAGCAGGUUAAUACCCCGCUGUUCUGACGGUACCCAAAGAAUAAGCACCGGCUAACUUCGUG